rnacentral:rRNA from 1 species
CUACGUAGGGUGCAAGCGUUAAUCGGAAUUACUGGGCGUAAAGCGUGCGCAGGCGGUUAUGUAAGACAGAGGUGAAAUCCCCGGGCUCAACCUGGGAACUGCCUUUGUGACUGCCUAGCUAGAGUACGGUAGAGGGGGAUGGAAUUCCGCGUGUAGCAGUGAAAUGCGUAGAUAUGCGGAGGAACACCGAUGGCGAAGGCAAUCCCCUGGACCUGUACUGACGCUCAUGCACGAAAGCGUGGGGAGCAAACAGGAUUAGAUACCCUGGUAGUCCACGCCCUAAACGAUGUCAACUGGUUGUUGGGUGCAUUAGUACUCAGUAACGAAGCUAACGCGUGAAGUUGACCGCCUGGGGAGUACGGCCGCAAGGUUGAAACUCAAAUGAAUUGACGGGG